rnacentral:lncRNA from 1 species
UUGCAAUUUCAACCCUUUUUUCUGCGAUUAACGAUGGUGAGCAGAAGGGCAACUGUUUCUGCAAUCGAUCUCAUUCAUGGAAGAGGAUUUCUCAAUCGAUGGUCGCAUAAAUCGGGUAUUAUCUCUCCUCCGUUCUCUCUCUUCUCUUCCAAGGCUUUUCAACCUAAGCAGUCCGGAAUCGAUUUCAGCUGUGUUAAAGAAUUAAAUGAUGCUAUUGGAUUGUUUCAAAAAAUGAAGAGUAUGCGGCGGGAUCCUUGUAUUCGAAUGUACAACAAUCUUUUGAGUGUUACUGUAAAGAUUGAGCAGUAUUCUUUUGCCCUUUAUAUGUUUGCUGAAAUGCUUAGAAUGGGUGUCCCUGUUAAUGUUUACACAAUGAAUAUUGCUAUCAAUUGUUGUUGUCUCUUGAAAGAUAUAAAAUCUGGCUUUGCUGUAAUGGGUAUAUUUUUCAAGAGAGGCUACGAACCAAAUGUCGCGACUUUCACCACUCUGAUUAAAGGGCUGUUUUUAGAUCAUAGGGUGGUCGAGGCUGGAAAAUUGUUCAAUAAGAUUUUGUGUUUCGGAAUAUGUGAGCCUAAUGAUGUUAUGAUUCUGACGAUGGUAGAUGGGCUUUGUAAAUCAGGAAAUGUCCUUCCAGCGAGAGAUUUAGUUCGUAGAUUAGAAAGAAGUAGGUUGAGACCUAAUGUCAAGGCUUAUAGUGCAUUGCUCGACGGGCUACGCAAAUCUGGAAUGGUGGAUGAUGCUCUCCAGCUCCUAUCCGCGAUGAUCGAAAAGGGUAUUACACCCGAUGUUGUCACGUACAACUCAAUGAUUCAGGGGUUGUGCGACCUAGGGAGACUGGAGGAUGUUAAGGUUCUGGUGAAUGAAAUGUCUAAUUCUAAUAUUUCUCUCGAUGUUGUUACCUUUAAUAUAUUGAUUGAUGCAUACUGCAAGGAGAGAAAGAUGGAAGAGGCUGAGGAUUUGUUGGAAAUUAUGAAGCAACGUAACGUAUGCCCUACUGUUGUCACUUAUAAUACGCUGAUUGAUGGGUAUUGUUUGAGAGGAGAAAUUGACAAAGCACGACAAGUACUUGAUUCCAUGGUUGACAAGGGACUUAAGCCUGAUAUUGUUACCUACAACUGCUUAUUAAAUGGAUAUUGCAGAAAGGGGAGAAUAGACGAAGCUUGGCUUCAUUUUCAGGAAUUUCCUUGUAAAGGUCUGGAGCAUGAUACAUGUACUUACACAACCAUGAUACAUGGAUUGUUUAGUGAACGUAGAUUUCCGAGGGGCUGGAAGCUUUCAAGGAUAUGGAAGCUCGACGAGUAUGUCCUGAUAUAUAUACUNAUGUGUAAAUUUAUGUCACAUAAUACUUAUUAAAAAACGGAGGAAGUUAGUAUGUACUUUUGAAAAAAAUAUUUAAUUUUAGAUGUUUUUCGAGUGCUCAAUAAUUUAAAAUGUCAUCAAUUUAUCAGAUGAAUUAAUAUUUCUUGAGCGAAAAACUUACAACUAUGAUUAAUUAUCAAUCAAUACUUGAAUAAGAUAAAAAUGCAUUGUUGAUACAAAAAGACCAUAAUCAGUAAUCAACUUGAAAGAAAUCUAAAUUAUAACAGUCAAUCGUAAUUUAUUAUUAUUAUUAUUAUUAUUAUUAUUAUUAUUAUUAUUAUUAUUAUUAUUAUUAUUAUUAUUUUCGAGUUUCGAUUGAAUCCAAAUAGAAUUACACAUUUGGUCCAUGAUUAUAUAUUUGGCCCAAUAGAAUUUGGGCUGGCCCAAUUCAACCCAAAUUACACACAUUUGGUCCAUGAUUUGUUCUUAAAAAAAGAACUAACAGAAAAAUAUCUUCACUCUUGCAAAACAUCCUCAGCAUCUGUUGCAAUUUCAACCCUUUUUUCUGCGAUUAACGAUUAUGAGUAGAAGAGCUGCUGUUACUGCAAUCGAUCUCAUUCAUGGAAGAGGAUUUCUCAAUCAAUGGUCGCAUAAAUCGGGUAUUAUCUCUCCUCCAUUCUCUCUCUUCUCUUCCAAGGCUUUUCAACCUAAGCAGCCCAGAAUCGAUUUCAGCUGUAUUAAAGAAUUAAAUGAUGCUAUUGGAGUGUUUCAAAAAAUGAAGAGUAUGCAGCCGGAGCCUUCUGUUCGAAUGUAUAACAAUCUUUUGAGUGUCACUGUAAAGAUUGAGCAGUAUUCUUUUGCCCUUUAUAUGUUUGCUGAAAUGCUUAGGAUGGGUGUCCCUGUUAAUGUUUACACGAUGACUAUUGCUGUGAAUUGUUGUUGUCUCUUGAAAGAUAUAAAAUCUGGCUUUGCUGUAAUGGGUAUAUUUUUCAAGAGAGGCUACGAACCAAAUGUCGCGACUUUCACCACUCUGAUUAAAGGGUUGUUUUUAGAUCAUAGGGUGGUCGAGGCUGGGAAAUUGUUCAAUAAGCUUUUGUGUUUCGGAAUAUGUGAGCCUAAUGAUGUUAUGAUUCUGACGAUGGUAGAUGGGCUUUGUAAAUCAGGAAAUGUCCUUCCAGCGAGAGAUUUAGUUCGUAGAUUAGAAAGAAGUAGGUUGAGACCUAAUGUCAAGGCUUAUAGUGCAUUGCUCGACGGGCUACGCAAAUCUGGAAUGGUGGAUGAUGCUCUCCAGCUCCUAUCCGCGAUGAUCGAAAAGGGUAUUACACCCGAUGUUGUCACGUACAACUCAAUGAUUCAGGGGUUGUGCGACCUAGGGAGACUGGAGGAUGUUAAGGUUCUGGUGAAUGAAAUGUCUAAUUCUAAUAUUUCUCUCGAUGUUGUUACCUUUAAUAUAUUGAUUGAUGCAUACUGCAAGGAGAGAAAGAUGGAAGAGGCUGAGGAUUUGUUGGAAAUUAUGAAGCAACGUAACGUAUGCCCUACUGUUGUCACUUAUAAUACGCUGAUUGAUGGGUAUUGUUUGAGAGGAGAAAUUGACAAAGCACGACAAGUACUUGAUUCCAUGGUUGACAAGGGACUUAAGCCUGAUAUUGUUACCUACAACUGCUUAUUAAAUGGAUAUUGCAGAAAGGGGAGAAUAGACGAAGCUUGGCUUCAUUUUCAGGAAUUUCCUUGUAAAGGUCUGGAGCAUGAUACAUGUACUUACACAACCAUGAUACAUGGAUUGUUUAGUGAACGUAGAUUUUCCGAGGGCUGGAAACUUUUCAAGGAUAUGGAAGCUCGACGAGUAUGUCCUGAUAUAUAUACUUAUAGUACAUUGUUGGAUGGGCUGUGCAGGAAUGGGGAGACUGAUGAAGCUCUUUCUUUUCUGCAUACGAUUGAAGGGAAAGGAGUUGAUCUCGAUAGAGUUACAUAUGGGGCUGUCAUUAAUGGAUUAUGCAAAAAUGGGAAACUUGAUGUUGCCAGAGAUCUUUUCAACCAACUGCCUUCUAGAGGUGUGCUACCUAAUGCUCGUAUAUAUAAUAUGAUCAUUGGUGCACUUUGUCAUGAAGGUUCUACGGAGGAGGCACAAUGUUUGCUUACAGAGAUGCAGAGUCAUGGUUGUGCACCUGACGACAUGACAUACAACAUCAUGACACGAAGUUUCCUAAAGAAGAAAGAACUUAGCAAGGCAAUACCAUACUUGGAAGUAAUGCGCGAAAAGGAACUCUCUGCAGAUGUUUCUACUCUUUCCAUGCUCAUUGAUCAAAUGCAAGGAAAAACUAAAGAUGAUGUUCUUCUCAAAUUGAUGAAAGAUGUUUUGCCAAAGGAUUUUCCAUCAUAGUCAUCUUACCUUCUGAGAUGCAACCAACUCAGGCUUUGGGGCUGAACUUUGUGUCUUUUUAUUUCUUCUAGGUUUUUUUUUUUUUUUUUUUUNCAUCUAAAGAUUUUUCUUGUGAUUUUGGAAGGGUACUUGCUUGCGUUUAUUUAUGGGUGGUUUAUCAAUUAAUCGAUUUUUUUGUAAUAUAUCUCAUGUGUACAAAUAUAUUCUCAUAUAUUCUAAUAUAUCAAUUCGUAUGCGUAUGUUGCAGAAAUGGAUAUUCAUUUAUUUUCUUCUACUUUGGAUACAAGAGGCAGCCUUCUAGCUGAAGUGUCUCUUUCCUAGAUUAGCAACACAACUAAUAUACACUUCCAUAUUUAAUGAAAAAAAAUGGCAAAGAAGAAGAUGAAAAGAAAAUUUACCAAACAUAUUACUCAUCUAAACCACAAUUUGAGCAGAAAACUACUUAUUUUGCAAAUCAAAAUUGCCUCACAAAACAUCCUGCAGUUUACAGUCUUGAAAAAGCUACACCAAAAACAUACUUGUGAAGAUUUAGCAACACAACUAAUAGCAGCAAACCGGUAUCUACACCCUCCUUCAUCUCCUAAACACAAUUCUCUCAACAAUACAAAAUACUCCCUCUGUCCCCAAAAUAAAAAUAAGUUUCUCUUUGGGGAUGGCACGGGUUUUAAGGAAAAGUGGUAAAGUGUAUUGAUAGUGGAGAAAAACAUUUUAUAAUUAUUAUUGAGAGUGGUGAAAAUGUGAAAAAAAUGUUAUAAUUACUAUUGGGAGUGGUGAAAAAUUGAAAAGUAAGAAUAAAUAAAGUAUUAUUAGUGGUGGGGUAGUCGUUCGAAAAUGGAAAGAAAGAAAGAGGAACUUAUUUGGAGGACGUCCCAAAAAAGAAAAAGAUGAACUUAUUUCAGGGACGGAGGGAGUAUAUUUUAAUAGGAGUAACAUAUAAUAAUUCACAUCAAUUACUCAAUAAAAUCCUGAAUUUAAAAAUAUAAAUAUUCAAUUUAUACAAAGUGUAAUAAUAAUUGAAGUUAUUAAAUAAAUUUAAAAAGUAUUCGAUAAUAAAAUUUUGCACUAUGCAUAUACUAUUCAUCAUAAUAAAUAUUUCUAUACAAACGUAAAUAAAAAGUUUUGGUGACAUUUAAAUAUUUUUCAUGAUCAAAUUUGAUGACGUUUAAAUAAUAAUUACAAUAUAAAAAGGUUAAAAAAAUAGUGAAAAUUUUGGUGGAAGAAAGAGAUCGAGAGAAAAGAGAGGGAAAAAAUAGAGAGAGAAAACUCAUCUUUUAUAUAUUAUAUAGAUAUAGAUAUAGAUUCCAGGUAUUAUUCUUGUGUUUUUUUCUCAAGAAAAUGUAUUAUUUUAUUUACAUUGUAUAGUAUUGCUAUAUUUUCUUUUCGUGCAUAGCACAUGAGAAAAUACUAGUUAACCUAAGAGAGAGAUUACUAUAGUGAUUUUCUUAGAAGAAAUGCGCGAAAAGAGACUCUUAGCAUAUGCUUCUACUUUUUUGAUUUAAUCCAUUAUCAUUGCAGCAGAUUAUUUAAAGGGGUGGAAUUAAAAGUACCCACCCCCAUAAUAUGUCUAUGAAAAAUACCCAACCCCUUACUAGGGGUGGGUAUUUUUCAUAUAUUAAGUCUUAUUUAAAUUUGUUUGGAUUGGUCUAGAGAUGACACUUGUUCUACUUUUUUUUAUAUAAGGCACUUACUUGAAGUUAUAAAAAAUAUAUAUACAUAUAUAUAAAAGUCCAUUAUGAUAUCACAAAAUUUUUUAUCAUAAAAAACACAUGCAAUUCUAAAAUUAACAAAUAAUAAUAUGCCUUAUAACUACAAUAUUAAAUAUUACAAACUGAUCUACAACAAAAUUAUAAUACAAAUUUGAAUAAGAGCGAUGAAAAGAAUUGUUUAACUUAAUAUUACCAACAAAUUUCACUCAUAACGCCAUUGCAUAAUGAAACUAUCAAAUUAACUAUAUAUUUUUUUAUUUACAUACAAAAUAGGGUUAUUUACGAAAGAAAUAAGGUUAUUUUAGGUAUUUUUUUUAAAGACAAAUGAAAGAAGGAAACUCAUUGUAUAAUUAAAAGUUCUCAAGUAUACAUUAGAAAAUACAAGUAAAAAAAAAGUAUACAUUAGAAAAUACGAUGGAAUUGUGUAGUGAUCCAACAUAUUUGGUAAGUGGCUACUUUAUUUCAAAGUUAAAUACUUUUUUAUAUAAUUAAAAUAAGAAAACUAAAAUAAUUAUAGAUGCACUACAUUUUAAAAAAUGUAAGAAAACGUUUAUUAUGUUUACUAUCUUAGUAUUUUUUUUUCUGUAGCCCAAAUAAUUUGAGCCCAAACAUUAUUAUUCAAGCCCAAAAUUCUGAGCCUACCAAAGAACUCCCCUUACAAAAAAGUCCAAAUCGCAAACUCCAUCCGUUGCAAUUUCAACCCUUUUUUCAGAUUCAAUCACAACUAAUCUCGCAAGCGUCGCCCAACACUCUCCCUUUCUUCACAUUAAAUCUCACCGCCGAUUAAGGAUGAGAGCAGAAGAGCUGCUGUUUCUGCAAUCGAUCUCAUUCAUGGAACAGGAUUUCUCAUCGAUGGUCGCAUAAAUCGGGUAUUUCUCUCCUCCAUUCCACUUCUCUUCAAGCGUCGCCCAACACUCUCCCUUUCUUCACAUUAAAUCUCACCGCCGAUUAAGGAUGACGAGCAGAAGAGCUGCUGUUUCUGCAAUCGAUCUCAUUCAUGGAACAGGAUUUCUCAAUCGAUGGUCGCAUAAAUCGGGUAUUAUCUCUCCUCCAUUCUCUCUCUUCUCUUCCAAGGCUUUUCAACCUAAGCAGCCCAGAAUCGAUUUCAGCUGUGUUAAAGAAUUAAAUGAUGCUAUUGGAUUGUUUCAAAAAAUGAAGAGUAUGCAGCCGGAGCCUUCUGUUCGAAUGUAUAACAAUCUUUUGAGUGUCACUGUAAAGAUUGAGCAGUAUUCUUUUGCCCUUUAUAUGUUUGAUGAAAUGCUUAGGAUGGGUGUCCCUGUUGAUGUUUACACGAUGACUAUUGCUGUGAAUUGUUGUUGUCUCUUGAAAGAUAUAAAAUCUGGCUUUGCUGUAAUGGGUAUAUUUUUCAAGAGAGGCUACGAACCAAAUGUCGCGACAUUCACCACUCUGAUUAAAGGGUUGUUUUUAAAUCAUAAGGUGGC